rnacentral:rRNA from 1 species
CUGCCAAUCAACCCCCACCAUCAAGGUUGACCUCGGAUCAGGUAGGGAUACCCGCUGAACUUAAGCAUAUCAAUAAGCGGAGGAAAAGAAACCAACAGGGAUUGCCUCAGUAACGGCGAGUGAAGCGGCAACAGCUCAAAUUUGAAAGCUGGCUCCUUUGGGGGCCCGCGUUGUAAUUUGUAGAGGAUGCUUCGGGUGCGGCGCCGGUCUAAGUUCUUUGGAACAAGACGUCAUAGAGGGUGAGAAUCCCGUAUGUGACUGGUUGCCUGUGCCCGUGUGAAGCUCCUUCGACGAGUCGAGUUGUUUGGGAAUGCAGCUCAAAAUGGGUGGUAAAUUUCAUCUAAAGCUAAAUAUUGGCCAGAGACCGAUAGCGCACAAGUAGAGUGAUCGAAAGAUGAAAAGCACUUUGGAAAGAGAGUUAAACAGUACGUGAAAUUGUUGAAAGGGAAGCGCUUGCAAUCAGACUUGCACGGCGUCGAUCAGCCUGGGUUCUCCCUGGUGCACUCGGCGCCGUUCAGGCCAGCAUCAGUUUCGACGGUGGGAUAAAGGCCUAGGGAACGUGGGUCGCCUCGGCGACCGUUAUAGCCCUAGGUGCCAUGCCGCCUGUUGGGACUGAGGACCGCGCU